rnacentral:rRNA from 1 species
UUGGCACCUCGAUGUCGGCUCAUCACAUCCUGGGGCUGUAGUAGGUCCCAAGGGUUGGGCUGUUCGCCCAUUAAAGUGGUACGCGAGCUGGGUUCAGAACGUCGUGAGACAGUUCGGUCCCUAUCCGUCGCAGGCGUAGGAAAUUUGAGAAGACCUGUCCUUAGUACGAGCGGACCGGGAUGGACGUACCUCUGGUGUACCAGUUGUCCUGCCAAGGGCAUGGCUGGGUAGCUAUGUACGGAAUGGAUAAGCGCUGAAAGCAUCUAAGCGCGAAGCCAACUUCAAGAUAAGAUUUCCCACCGCAAGG